UACGGUACUUUCAAAAAAUGCGUGUUUCUCUUAGAACACUACUCAGGUAGCACUCUUUUCUGAACUAAAUAAAGCCACCUACAGCUUCUUUACUCAAUCUGAAGUUCUUUUUAUUUUUCAAAAUCUGCUCUGAAGAGACCACCACUAUGAAAUGUUCAAGCAUGGAAAAACAGUGGCUAAAUACUGCCUCACUAUAUGCUGAUAGUACUAAUUUGAAGAGAGCUUGUAAUUAGUGCUGACCAGUUGCUGAGGAAUUUUUGACCUAUGGCGUCAAAUGAUUCACCUUGGUUCACAAGAAAUGGCCUUGAUGUCCUUGCGAGAUAUUAGCUAGUAGGAAUCCAACACAUUCUAGUCUGUGAAGUGAGCAUCGCCAGCCCGUUUUGAUGAAGCAGAAACUGGAGGCAUAAAAUUCACACAAAUCACACGUCUGGCUGGUGAGUGUCAGAACAGGACUCAAAUCCAGGCAUGGCUGACCAUGAAGCACGUGCCCCUUCCCAUUAAGCCAGAGCUCCUGCCUUCUCAAGGAGGGAAGGGGAAAUUAAAGCACCAAAGGGCACACUGGAGAGCAGCAGAAGUGGGCUUGUUCUAGCAGAUCCCCUCCGGGAUAAUCACCGUACCAGUGAGCUGUAACUACACUUGAUUAUCUAAGGACAUUCUGGCCCAGCCUGGCCCAGCCUGGGAAGACUCAGAUCUGCCGAAACCUGCAUUUUGUGUAACCUGGUUGCUGAAAUUCUCCUCUUUCCCUUUCUUCUAAAUUAGUUUCACUUCACACGCAUCAAAAUGCAGCUAAUCCCAAUAGAUGCGAUCUGUCUUCUUUUCUGCAUCUGAUUGGUUCCACCUAUAAUUUCAAAAUCUUUGUCAUCUUCUCUAAGUCCUAUUCCACAUUCUAAAUGCCCCAUAGCCACUGAUUAUUAAAAUGAUUCGGGCUUGUUCUUUCAGAUAUAAAUUAAUGGUGUGAUUCAAAUUGGAUAGGCUUGUUUAUAUUACUACUCUGUGGGGUUUUUUGGUUUGUUUUGGUCUUUUUUUUCUUAGGCCUGCACCUGCAACAUAUGGAAGUUCCCAGGCGAGGGUCAAAGUGUCACUGUAGCCGCUGGCCUAUGCCACAGCCUCAGCAACACAGGAUCCAAGCUGUGUCUGCAACCUAUACUACAGCUCACAGCAACGCCAGAUCUUUAACCCACUGAAGGAAGCCAGGGAUUGAACCUGAGUCCUCAUGGAUACUAGUCAGGCUCGUUACUGCUGAGCCACAGUAGGAACUCCUACACUGUGGUUAUUUGAUAAAAAAGGUAAACCUGGGCAUGUACUGACUAGAAUUAACGAUACUGCAUUGUAUAUUUGAAAGGUUCUAUGAAAGAGAUCUUUAAAGAGUUUCUCACACACGAGUAAUUAUAACUAUGUGUGGUGACUGGAAGUUAACUACGCUUGUGGUAAUCAUUUCUCAAUGUGCACAUAUAUCAAAUGAUGUUGUGCACCUAAAGGAAGCACAAUUUUAUAUAUCGAUGACAUCCUAAUUAAAAAUUUUCAAAUCUACUUCCUUAUUAAGUUGGCCAUGCCUAUCCUCUCUGAUGAGGGUUUAAUGAAGAUCUGCUGAAUGAAUAAACAAAAGCAUAUCAGGUAAGCUUUAAUACAAUGGUAUAUUCCAGCUGAAAUGAUGCUCAGAAGAAAUCAUGCACUGGCAUAUGCCAGAACCCUGCAAAAUCUAGUUUUCCCUUGGAGGAAACAGAGGUGACAAUUGCUUUAUAUCAUUCUUAAUUUCAUUAAAUCGCUAAGGAUGAGAAACGUUUGCAUAUUAUGUCAGAGCUGUGGAAAUGCAAUUUUUAGCCUUUUACUACCAGAUCAGUUUUUGCUGAAAAAUGUUUUCACAGCUACAUGUGCUUCUUCAUCCUGUCAGGCAGGGAACAACUUCUGCAUGAAAACAAAACACUUUCCGAGGAGUGUUCUCAGAAAUACUAAAGAACUUUAAAGGAGCAUCCUAAAUUCUCCUGUUUGGAUGGUUUCACAACCCUUACACCGCUUCCAAGUUCCCCUGUCCCUAAUUUGUUCUGGUGAGUUUUUGUUUGUUUUCACUCAGAGGGUUUUCUCAACUGGCCUCUAUAGCUCCUGUCAGCAGAGAGUCAAAAAUAUCCUCACCGGGAGCCAAGAAAGUGGUAACCACACACAUACAAAAUAGAACCGUUCUGCUGUCUUUUACCUCCAUAGACAUGAGAGCAAAUGACUUGUAGCCUAGCUGAAGAAUUUACACAAGAAUCCUAUUUGAGGAAGGAAAAUUAUCAGCUCCAUUAUCUUGAGUCUUACCUAUCUUAAAAAAGAGAGGAAAAAACAAAACAGGACGUGGUGGGUUUUGUCUGUGGCUGCCCUAGGUCAUUUGUGUGGAACAUGUAUUAUGAAAGUAGCAUGGGCAGAAAUGUACCCACAAGUAUGGUUGCAGAAAUAAGCUAUAGAGUAUGUACAUAAUAUGACACAUAAUUACUAUGUGGGGAAGUCAAACUCCUGCUGGGAGUGUUUUGCAUUUACAAUGUCAGUGCUUGGCCUGUGCCUCUCUUUCCAAUUACAUUUAUUUCCCCAGUACCCCACACCCCUUUAACCCAGUCAUGAAACAUUAGCCACGUGGUUCCUUCUUUUGCUCAUUUAAAACUUUUCAUUGAGCUAUUCCUACUUGUGGCUACUGCCUCCGUGCUAUGUCCACUAAGAAUGAGACCCUGCAUGAAGGGGCUUUGAUGGCUUGCAAACCUAAGAGGAAGGGAACUGGGCAGAGCACGGUGCUCACGGGAAGGGAGGCCCUUUCUGCAAAGUACAGGCAGCUCCUUCUCAGCCAUAAGGAAAACUGCCAUGUGGACCAUAAAUGUAAUUUCAUUAUGUUUGUAUUUCUGUUGUUUGCUUUUUGGUUCUUCUCAAUAAUUAACCUGUACAAAAGGUUAGAGUAAAGUAAAAAGAGAGCAUUAACUUGCCUUCUGGACUGAGCUAAAAAAGAAUGGUCUCUAUUGAGGGGACUCUGAGAAGAGGCCUGAAGCACGAAGGAUAGAGCUUCUGAAGAGCUGACCUGGACCACGAAAUGGUCCUGCAGGCACAUUGGGGAAAGGUCUAUACAUGUAUCUGACCACUGAAUUUUAUUUACAAAUCCAAAAUGACCCUUUAUAAGGAAUUUCUUCCAGAAUUCCUCUGUGGCACAGUGAGUUAAGGACCUAGCAUUGUCACUGUAGUGGCUUGGGUCACUGCUGUGGCACGGGUUUGAUCCCUGGCCCAGGAACUUCUGCAUGCCCUAGAUAUGACCAAAAAAAAAAAAAGUGUUGUUUUUUUUUUUUUCCUUUUUCAAGCUAGAUGUCUUAGAGAAUGUGUAUUUAACUUUUGAAUCAAUUGUUGAGAAGUGUAGUAUCUAAGAGAAAACCUUUCCAUCAUAUUGAGGUCAAUCAGCACAUCCUUCAUGGGCCAGGCACCGUAUUAGACACAGAGGACCCAGAAUUGAAUAAUGUCUGGUUCCUGCCCUCAAGGAGCUGACAUGCAGGAUGGGGAGACAGAUGAACAGCCAACACAUAUGUAUGGCUGGUGUUAUCCAUGGUUUCAAUCUGACUUACUCAUUUUUCUGCUUGAAUAGUUUUUAAGUUUGUUUUGAAAACAAAUUCCUUUAUGCCAUGAGACAAGAAAGAAUGCUCUCUCUAAAAGACACACAUACUGAAAAUUUAUAUUUUGCACAUUUAUUGAAUUAUCAUUUUUGAGAAAUGUAUGAUCAAUUUCUCAAUUUUUGCUGUUGUUGCUGUGAGGCAUGGCGAAGGGUCAUUCAUUAUGGAAAUGCUGUUCACUAAAAUAUUGAGAAACUAAGACUGAGAAACUUUAGGCUUGCUAGUUAGCUGACAGCUGCAUCCUUUGAAGAGAGAAAUAGGCUUGGACCCAUUAAUUUUCAUCGGAAAAGAACAAUUUGACACAGCAGGGAGAAAAUGACAACCCAGGUGCCUUGGAAAAAGUAGGAUCAAUAAACAGAGAAAGAGAAGGCAGGAUAAGUUAACAAUAUACUUUUUAUGAAAUUCCAGUCAUUCAUAAGAAAAUUAUUCAUAAAUAUGAUAUUAAACUCCUUUUUUGUUUUUUCUUAUGUUCUUAUGCUAUGUUUUCUACUGCUAAAGUGUUAACAUGUGGGGAAGCUGUGUUAUGGAUGUUCAAGAACUCUUUCAAUAACUUUACAAUAUUUUUUGGCUGUGCCCACCACUUUGGAAAGUUCCCAGGCCAGGGAUUACACUCACACCACAGAAACCGACCCACAGUAGUGACAAGGGCUGCUCCUUAACCACUAGGCCACCAGGAAACUCCACAACAUUUUUAUAAACCUAAAAUUACUCUGGAAUAAAACUCUAAAAAAUUUAUGAAAGUAAUACGUUCAAACAGAAAACUAGUGGAGCCAAGAUUCAAACCUAAAUAUAUUUGAUCAUAACAUCUACAUUUUGACCCCUGUAUUAUUCUAUUUCCCUGUGGUUACACCAGGUGAUUCUAUUCCUACUUGUUCUUCAGUAACUGUGUUUUUUAUCUUUAACCCUAGUUAGAGGAGACCGACCUUCUAAACCAUGACCUCCAGUUAUUUCCAUGACAAGGCAGCCUAUUUGGGGAUCUCCCGCCCUCACUUACUACUAAAGAUGAUUUGCUAAUCUCUUCAGAAUAAUUCCCUUUGGUUUUGCAUAUAGUCUUAAUGUAUAAUAAAUGUUCCCUAAAUGUAGUGACUUAAAACAACAAUGAACAGUUUUUUAUUGGUGUUGGUCGGGAAUUUAAGAAUGGCUUGGCUAGGUGGUCCAGGCUCAGGAUGUCUCAUGAGGCUGUAGUCAGACCAGAGACACAGGCUGAACAGACAGACACAGACAACUCAAGAGCUCAGUUAUCUGGAACGGGAGGAUCCACUCUCAAGAUGGCUCACUCAGAGGGCUGGCAAGCUGGUGCUGGCUGUCGGCGGGAGAAUUCGGUUGCUCUCCCUGGGGCCUCUCCCAAGUCUGCACGAGUGUUUGCAAGACAUGGAAGCCAGAUUUUCCUAAAGAAAGUGAUCUAUGAGAGAGAAACUAGGUGGAAAUAUCCUAGACCAGGAAAGACCUGGUCUCAUAAGUCACAUAAUCAUUUCUGCCAUAUUUUUAGUUAGAAGUGAGUCAGUAAGUGGGUCCAUAGUCAAAUAGAGGAAAAAUUACAUCACACUUUAUAAAAGAAUGUGGAAUGUCAAAGAAUUUGCAACAUAUUUUAAAAUUACUCUAUGUGGGUUGGGGCCAAUGAAGUAUAUCCUACCUAUACUUCAUGCCAGGGGUACGUCUAGCUAUGGAUUAAUAUUUCUAAUUACUAUUCCUUGAAAUAAUAUGUCCCAGGAUUUCUUUCCAUUUCACACCUAGGACUCUGCCAAAUCCUCUGAAUAGGACCCUUUAUUUAAAAGACUAAUAGCUCAGUGUUCCCAUCAUGGCUCAGCAGUAAUGAACCCAACUGGUAUCCAUGAGAACAUGGGUUCGAUCCCUGGCCUCGCUCAGUGGGUUAAGGAUCCAGCGUUGCCUUGAGCUGUGGUGUAGGUCGCAGAUGUGGCUAGGAUUCUGCAUUGCUGUGGCUGUGGUAUAGGGUGGCAGCUGCAGCUCCAACUGGCCCCCUAGUCUGGGAAUUUCUAUAGGCCACAGGUGCCACCCUAAAAAACAAACAAAAAAAUAAAUAAAUAAAAAACAAAACAAAACAAAUAACUCAAGCAAAACUCACUUAGGACAAGUGGGCAUUUACUGGCUCAAGCAACCCAAGGAAGUGUUGACCUAACCAAAUUCCAGGAUAGGCAGUGAUCCAGAGAAAGAAGUGGAACCAGGAGUUUGAAUACCCACAGGACUAUCCCUCCACGUUCCUCCUGUGCUCUUCUUGGAGGGUCAAGUUCCAUCUCCCUCACUUUCCAUACAUGGCAGGAACAAUGGCUACCUACACCUUCUAAAUACAUUCCACAGCCUCUGCUAUGGGAGAGGGUCUUCCUUAUGCCCUAUGAUUCCAAGUUCAUUACACCAAAGAAGAGCCUGGGUGGCUCACCCUGGGGCCAAAGGAGAGACAGGAUCCUGUAACAUGGUAGCUCCUACAAUUACCACAAGGUGGCUAUGGAGGAAUGAAUGGUCAGCUG
rnacentral:lncRNA from 1 species